UUAGCAAAUGGAUCAGGAAGUCCUCAGUUAGUAGCAACAGGGAUGAGGUAGGAAGUGAGCAGAAGCCUCAGAGACAACAGUGAUUGGCGGCAACAGCGAGA